AUGCUGCAACUGGAUUAUAGAGUGGGGGAGUCUCUGAAGAGAAGAAAAAGUUGCAAGAAAGCAGCAGCACCUGGGCAGAGUUUGCUAAAAGUCUGUCUUCUUCUGCAGUGUCUUGAAUGCUGUUGCUGUGUGGCUUUUCCAAGGACCUGGCAGUUUUCUGGAGCACUGGAGGAUUCCACAGGAGCUGCCCCCAGAUGCCUUCUGCAUUGCCUGGACCUGGUGCUUCCAGCUGUCAGCUCUGGAGCUGAUAUAGCAGCCCUGUGUUUGAGCAGCUGCAGCCCCGGGAAAGUUGUCUUACAGAGUGAAAGGACACCCAGGCUUCUGGCAGAACUGCCAGGUGGCCUCACAGGAGGUUUGGCUUCUGUCAGCAGCCAGCAUAGAAGCCCUGAGGACACAGCUGGACAGUUUUCUGCAUAA
rnacentral:lncRNA from 1 species